rnacentral:snRNA from 1 species
AGCUUUGCACAGUGGCAGUAUCGUAGCCAAUGAGGUUUAUCCGAGGCACGAUUAUUGCUAAUUGAACCCAAGAACUAUGAAAUCAUGACCUGAGCUGAAGUCGGACGCUUAACCCACUGAGACACCCAGGUGCCCCUCAUCUGCACUUUUUAAAAUUACAUCUUCGGG